GCGGACGUAGCUCAGCUGGUAGAGCGCAACCUUGCCAAGGUUGAGGUCGCGAGUUCGAACCUCGUCGUCCGCUCCG
rnacentral:tRNA from 3 species